rnacentral:rRNA from 1 species
GUAGGGGCCAAGCGUUGUCCGGAUUUAUUGGGCGUAAAGAGCGUGUAGGCGGCCAGGUAGGUCGGUUGUGAAAACUGGAGGCUCAACCUUCAGACGUCGACCGAAACCCCCUGGCUAGAGUCCGGAAGAGGAGAGUGGAAUUCCUGGUGUAGCGGUGAAAUGCGCAGAUAUCAGGAAGAACACCCGUGGCGAAAGCGGCUCUCUGGGACGGUACUGACGCUGAGACGCGAAAGCGUGGGGAGCGAACAGGAUUAGAUACCCUGGUAGUCCACGCCGUAAACGAUGGGUGCUAGGUGUGGGGGGUGUCGACUCCCCCCGUGCCGCAGCUAACGCAUUAAGCACCCCCGCCUGGGGAGUACGGCCGCAAGGCUA